GACGAACGCUGGCGGCGUGCUUAACACAUGCAAGUCGAACGGAAAGGCCCUGCUUUUGUGGGGUGCUCGAGUGGCGAACGGGUGAGUAACACGUGAGUAACCUGCCCUUGACUUUGGGAUAACUUCAGGAAACUGGGGCUAAUACCGGAUAGGAGCUCCUGCUGCAUGGUGGGGGUUGGAAAGUUUCGGCGGUUGGGGAUGGACUCGCGGCUUAUCAGCUUGUUGGUGGGGUAGUGGCUUACCAAGGCUUUGACGGGUAGCCGGCAGGGGAGGGUGACCGGGCACAUGGGGACUAAGAUACGGCCCAGAAGCGUACGGGAGGCAACGGUGGGGAAUAUUGCACAAUGGGGGGAAGCCUGAUGCAGCAGCGCCGGGUGCGUGAAGACGGCCUUCGGGUUGUAAACCGAUUUCGCCUGUGACGAAGCGUGAGUGACGGUAAUGGGUAAAGAAGCACCGGCUAACUACGUG
rnacentral:rRNA from 1 species